GAUGAAGAACGUAGUGAAAUGCGAUAAGUAGUGUGAAUUGCAGAAUUCAGUGAAUCAUCGAAUCUUUGAACGCACAUUGCGCCCCUUGGUAUUCCAUGGGGCAUGCCUGUUCGAGCGUCAUUUGUACCUUCAAGCUUUGCUUGGUGUUGGGUGUUUGUCUCGCCUUUGCGUGUAGACUCGCCUUAAAAUAAUUGGCAGCCGGCGUAUUGAUUUCGGAGCGCAGUACAUCUCGCGCUUUGCACUCAUAACGACAGCGUCCAAAAGUACAUUUUACACUCUUGACCUCGGAUCAGGUAGGGAUACCCGCUGAACUUAAGCAUAUCAAUAGCGGAGGA
rnacentral:misc_RNA from 1 species